rnacentral:rRNA from 1 species
UACGGAGGGGGCUAGCGUUGUUCGGAAUUACUGGGCGUAAAGCGCACGUAGGCGGCUUUGUAAGUUAGAGGUGAAAGCCCAGGGCUUAACCCUGGAAUUGCCUUUAAGACUGCAUCGCUAGAAUCGUGGAGAGGUGAGUGGAAUUCCGAGUGUAGAGGUGAAAUUCGUAGAUAUUCGGAAGAACACCAGUGGCGAAGGCGACUCACUGGACACGUAUUGACGCUGAGGUGGCGAAAGCGUGGGGGAGCAAACAGG